AUGGCAACCUGCACAUGUGACUGCAAGAGAUGGAACAUGACAGGUGUACCUUGCAAUCAUGGCAUAUCUGCAAUGACAAAGCAGAAGCUGCAUCCUGAGGACUAUGUGUCUGAAUUCUUCAAGAAGCCAUUGUACAUGGAGACAUACAAAGCAAUUAUUUACCCUGUCCCUGGUCCAGAUUGCUGGCCUGAUACAAACACUCAAGACAUUCAUCCUCCUGUGUUUAAAGAAAAGGCAGGCAAAAAGCAGACAACAAGGAGGAAGGGAGAGUUUGAGGUUCCAGCUCCAAGAGACACAAGUAGGAUGGGCACUAUCACAUGUGGAAACUAUGGUUUGGAAGGACACAUGUAUACAACAUGCAACUUCUGA
rnacentral:rRNA from 1 species